UUACAUUGCACCUGGCCUGUUUUCUGGAACUGGGGAUGGAGCAUCAAAACCAGACUAACGCCGGCCCACUGGUUUUCCAAAACCACCCUUCUAGAACCCUCCACCUUUUCUAUAAAACUAACAUACAGAUCGUGUCAGUAGCCACACAACAAACCUAUUUCUCAUUUCCAAUCAUCUGAUUAGGUUUUGGUUAGAGAAUGGUGGGGGCAUAUCAGGCGUCUGAAGGCCUGGACGAGGAGGUAGAUGGGGGUCUCUUAUUGAACUUUCUGUUCCCUUAGGGUUCAGAGCAUCGAAUCCAUGAUUUACCAGAUUGAGAUUACCAGAGGAGAGUGUAGACAUAGGGAAAUUGAUAACGAUUAAGAGGCACAAGAUUGCAAGGGUUCAACUAUCUCUGGGAGGAAACGUAAAUAUGCAAUAGUUAGGGAGGAACCAAGAGAUGAAUAAGUUAAUCAGGAAUGUUCUUAGGAUCUAUCGCCUCAUCCUUCAAUCGAAUCAAUCCCUGUGAUGCUGCAUUGAUGAUACUGCAGGGUGCCUUCAGGUCAUAAAGAAGAAGACAUGCUGCAAGACCGACUCUCUGGAUUGCUUAGACAUGAACAAAUAUGAGCUCCUAGAAAAAAAUGACAGCAGUUUCCAAUUUACCUGUGGUUGUCUUUUCAAAGGGGCUGUAUAUGAUAUUGUUAAGCUACUCACAAUGGAUAAUCUCAAGAACCUUUGGCAAGUUGCAUUCAGAAACAACAGAAAUGUGGUGAUAGACAUUACUAAAGAGGAAAGUAAUGCUCAUGUAGAAUCACAAGCAAACAUACCGAAUUUCAAAAUAGAAAGGUCAGAAGGAACGGACAAUUUGGAGGAGAAAUAUAGCAGUGGUUCAACAGCCUUCACGAAGCGAAGGGUAAUAUGGAGUGGUAAUAGGCCUAUUUGCACUUUUGUAAUUGUUUUCAAGUUGUUGUAAUUUCAGAGACUUUUGAUGGCAUAAUUUUGCAAACCUACUUAAAAGAAAUUAGAUUGAAAGCCUUGGCAUAUAGCAAAGAGUACUUACAGUUCAAAUUACUUGAGCCAUCUUUACAUUGAAAAGUAAACAGAAAAUAAAAGAGAAAAUUAGAUAUAAACCCAAAAAUUCAACAUUCUAUUAGAAAAAAACCCAUACAUACUUUUCUUUUAAUUUACACCCAAAUCACAUUAAUAAACCUUCUAUAUAGAGUGAUUCAUAAAAAAAUAAAAAUAAAACCUUCCAUAUAGACUGUAUGCUUAUAAUCAAUAUUUUUCCUUAUUUUCAUGUAUAUCUAAUUUGCCCUUUUAUAUUUUCUCAAAUAAUACAUGUCUAAUGUACCUACUAAAUAUGUAUAUGUAGGUAGGGCUUAAAUAAUAGAAACGUUCAAGCUUAAUAGAGAUCGACACGCAAUGA